rnacentral:rRNA from 1 species
GACGAACCGUGCAAACGUUGUUCGGAAUCACUGGGCUUAAAGGGCGCGUAGGCGGAUUCUCAAGUCGGUGGUGAAAUCGUUCGGCCCAACCGGACAAGUGCCGCCGAUACUGGGAGUCUCGAGGGAGGUAGGGGUCGAGGGAACUAAUGGUGGAGCGGUGAAAUGCGUAGAUAUCAUUAGGAACGCCGGUGGCGAAAGCGCUCGACUGGACCUUCACUGACGCUGAGGCGCGAAAGCGUGGGGAGCAAACAGG